AGCGAACGCUGGCGGCAGGCCUAACACAUGCCAGUCGAACGAACUCUUCGGAGUUAGUGGCGGACGGGUGAGUAACACGUGGGAACGUGCCUUUUGGUUCGGAAUAACUCAGGGAAACUUGUGCUAAUACCGAAUGUGCCCUUCGGGGGAAAGAUUUAUCGCCAUUAGAGCGGCCCGCGUCUGAUUAGCUAGUUGGUGAGGUAACGGCUCACCAAGGCGACGAUCAGUAGCUGGUCUGAGAGGAUGACCAGCCACACUGGGACUGAGACACGGCCCAGACUCCUACGGGAGGCGGCAGUGGGGAAUCUGGCGAAAUGGGCGAAAGCCGGACGCUCCCAGGCCGGGUGAAUGAUGAAGGUCUGAGGAUUGAAAAGUUCUUUCACCGGGGAGGAUAAGGACGGUACCCGGAAAAAAAGCCCCGGCUAACUUCGUG
rnacentral:rRNA from 1 species